rnacentral:misc_RNA from 1 species
GUGAAAUUUCUUCAGUUUUAGUUACAAGAAGCUUGGAAAAUUAAUGGUAUCAUAGUUCUUGAUGAUACUUCUGUUGUAUGCCUGUUAAAAGAGAGGGAAAGAAAGAGGAGUUUGAGCAAUUGUAAUGUCCAUCUCUUGCUAAAAUGUCUGUAAGAACUUUGAAUGUUAGUUACUGUUUAGUAGAGGGGAUUAUAAAGGGAGCUUGGUUUGGAAGAAGA